UCCACACGACUAUGAAAACAAAUUUUAAAAGACAUUUUCGAAAUUUAAACAAUUUUUUUAAAUGUUUUCGAAAUUAUUCUUUUAAUCAUAGUUUGAAAUACGGACAGUCCAUAUUUUGGACUUAAAUCUCAGCAAUAGACCCUCAAAUGUGUUUAUGGGGAGAAAUAUAUUGAAAAUCAUCGACACAUGUCAGAGUGACAAAGAAACGAGGAGGAUACAUGAUGGUCGUGGGAUGUGCUAAAAAUAAUAGCUAAAUAGCCCUUAAGUAACGCACAAAAAUUUCUUGCUUUAUGCAUAAUCGUAUGAAUUCUUGUGUGUUGAACACAAAUUCGCAAAACUUUUCUGAAAAUUUCAGAAAAUGAAAAAAGAGUAAUAAUGGGUAAUAUGAGUGCUUAAACCAGAAUUUCGCCUAUUUUUUUUUUAAUUCGAUGAAAUAACUCGAGUGAGGUUAGCAUUUCAGAGGAAAUUCAAGAGGUGUUGUUGCUGUUAUUGAUUGCUGUUGUUGUUGUUGUUAAGCAACGAGACGGGGAACGGUGAUUAGGUGAUGGUCUAGGGCUUAGGGGCGGGAGAUCCCAGACCUUGGAAAAAGAAAAAAAAUUUGGUCGUCUUGUUGUAGUCGAGGGCUCUUCGUUGACGCCCGACACCAUUAGGAGGUGGCCCUCGAAGUCGCUGGAAAUGGUGACCUCCGGGUCCAAAUUCUUGGACGGCUGCUGCUGUUGAUGAUAUUGUUGCUCGCGGUGUUGUUUUUUUUAGCCCGAGAUCAACAAUGAUUUUAUCUUUUAAUUGCUUCAGUUAUUUAGACUUAGUGCCAGGCAUUGAGCGCCGCAUUGGAAAAUUUUUGUCGAUCGCAUCAACUCCAGUGCUUAUGUUUUUAAAACCUGGAACUUAUCCUCUCGGUCGCUUUUGCCGAUUCGCUAAGUUACGGGACGUAUACACACCGACACUGGUGUCAGACACAGGCUCAAAGAAACAUAGACACACGCAUACAUACACACAUACAUACACAAACACACAUGCACACACACGCACUCAUCUUUAUAUCUAUCUAUCUAUCUAUCUAUCUAUCUAUUUAUCUAUCUAUCUAUCUAUCUAUCUAUCUAUCAAUAUCUCUGUCUGUCUCUCUCUUUCUCUUUCUCUGUCUCUCUCUGUCUCUCUUUCUCUCUCUGUCUGUCUGUCUCUCUCUCUCUCUCUCUCUCUCUAUAUAUAUAUAUAUAUAUACUAAGAAAAUAAUAUAUAAAACAUAUGCAUAUAUACAUACAUAUAUGUACAUACCUACAUAUAUAUGUAUAUAUAUACAUGCAUAUAUGGCUACAGGACACCAAAAAAACGUUGAACACGAUGAGAAACGAAAGCAUAAAACCAAAAACAUAGAAACUGACUUUUUUUUUCAAACAACGAAAAAACAGAGUACAAACAUACAACACAAGGAAUACAUACAUAGAUAGAUAGAUAGAUAUCUAUCUAUCCACUCGGAAGGCACUAGUGGACCAGGGGCUAUAGUAGAAGACAAUUGGCUAAGGUGCCACGCAGUGGGAGUGAUCCCGGAACCAUGUGGUUGGAGAGCAAACCUCUUAACAGACAGCCACAGGCAUUCCAGGUGACAUUCUCGCCUUUUUCUCUGUGCCAUGAACGCGGGACCUCACGAUCCAACGUGUCCUUCUCUAAGACACUUAGAGCAUGAUUUCAAUUAGAUUCAGUCGUUAUUUCUAGCAUGUCAAGAAGCUCCUGCACUCAGUAGCGUUGCUAAGCGAGGCUGCAAGUGAUAGAGCGCGUCGCCCUGGGUGGCACUUUUAUGGAGGCGGCACCUAUGAAUCUGCUGUAUAAGCCUGUAUAGGGGCGGCAAACACAAGGACUGCCCCUAGCAUUAUACACUCUAGCAAGGCCACUGCCUGUCCUGGAUCGUUUGACAGGUAUUUCUAGCUGGUUCGAUCCGACUUAUUAUUGUAUUGGGUCUCGUUUCGUUCCUUGUUAGCUUCACAGAUGAAGUCCAAUUUAACGUUCAUAUGUUUUGAUUGGACGAAAUAAAUAUGUCAGAUAUUGUAGUUUGAUUCCGUAACCAGUUAUUGUCGUAAAGAGUUUGAAAGUGAAAGAAAAAGUGUGUGUGUGUUUGUGUGUGCGUGUGUGUGUGUGUGUGUGUGUGUGUGUGUGUGUGUGUGUGUGAGUGUGUGUGUGUGUGUUGAGAGAGGAUGGGGAAGCAGGGAGAGAGAAGAGAAGGAGGAGAGAGCGGAGAGAGAGGAGGAGCAAGGGGCGAGAAGGAGGACGACAGAGAGUAAGAGGGAGAAUAGGGUGAGAGAGAGAGUAGGAGGAGGAGAUGAGAGCGAGAGAGGAGUCAGAAAGUGGGAGGAAGAGAGAGAGAGAAACGGAGAGGGAAGGAGAGACAGGGAGAGAGAGAAAGAGUGUGUACGUGUAUUUGUGAGUGUGUGUCCGUGACUGAGUGUAUGUGUGUGUGUAUGUGUGUGUAUGCAUGUGUGUUUGUAUAUGUAUGUGUGUGUAUUCAUGUGUGUGUGUGUGCGUGAGUUGAGGUUAAUGUAAAUAUCAGACUGCUUCUUCCGGUGUUUUUCUCUUUUUUUUUUUCUUGAGUGUGUCGAUUGGCUUUUCGAAAUUCGGGGAUGUAAAAUGCAAUGAAAGCCUGACAGAAAGAGAGAUGGGGAAAGAAGAAAGAAGAGGCGAAAAAGACAAAGAGGGAGAGAAAGAAGAACGAAUUGUGUGUGCGUGCCUGUGUGUGUGUGAAAGAGAGAGAGGAGAGAGGGAGGAGAGGGGGAGAAGAGGGAGAAGUAUAACAAGAAUUCGAUUAGAUUUUACGCUUAAAUAUAUAGGGGCAUUGGGAGCAAGUUUGGAAUAAGUAUUCUAUUAUGAUGAGGACUACUUGAAGGGCCAAAAUGCACCCCACACCAAAAAAGAAAAGGAGAAAAAGAACAAAUAAGAUGUAAAUUUGAAAAUAUUUUUGUUGCAGUAAUUGUUAUUUCCUAUGUUUAAAAUAUAAUUCAGAAAAUCAGUUACGGCCAGUUGAGUACAACUGAACGAAGUAAGGGUUGCUUGUUAUCUUACUGAUUUAUCUUCGCAAUUCCCUCCCUCGUAAUCUCAUAAAUCAAUAGAAUACAAGAGAAUGGUGAUCUUACAUCUUGCGAUCGAUAUGCUAUAAACAGCAGAACCCUAUUUUCGGCGAAAACAUGAAAAAUAUCUUUUUUUCUUUCAUGGCCAGGUGAAUUGAAAUCACCGAGAUGAGGAGGAGGAGGAGGAGACCCCCCUUCGGUCAUGAAUGACCAUGGGAUUGCAACUAGGAAGUUACCUUCCCAGACACGAGUCCGGUUAAUGUUGUUUAUGGAAGGCCAACAGCCGCCCAGGCAUACCAGCCACCUCUCCCCACACCACUGAUGUUAUCCAAGGUAAAGGCAAAUGCCAAUACAGCAUAAGACCAGUAAUGUCACAACUCAUUUCUACAGCUGAGUGAACUGGAGCAACGUGAAAUAAAGUGUCUUGCUCAAGAACACAACACAGUCCGGGAAUCGAAUUCACAACCUCAUGAUCGUAAGCUCGACUCUCUAACCACUGAGCUAUGCACCUUUACAAUCACCGAUAUAAGCAUAUAGAAAUCCGAAGGAAUUUUUGCAAAGAAAAAAAAUGAUGGUGAUCGUGGAGUGCUUAUUCAGAACCUUAUAGAUGUUUAUUGUUUCUUCAUAAUUCUUUCAACUAUAGUACAAGAUGUAAAAGUUUAUGGAAGGGCGAUAGUCAGUUACAUCAAUCCUGGUGCUCAAUUAGUAUUUAUUUUAUCGACCCCGAAAUGAUGAAAGGUAAAGUGGACCUUAGCAGAAUUUGAACUCAGAACGUAAAGACGGACGGAAGUCUGGUAAGCAUUUCACCCUGCGUGCUAACGAUUCUGCCUGCGCACCACAUUCUUACGUUUAUCAGUAUUAUGGGCUACAUUAAGGCGGCGAGCUGGCAGAAACGUUAGCAUGCCGGGCGAAAUGCUUUGUGGUAUUUCGUCCGCCGCUGCGUUCUGUGUUCAAAUUCUGCCGAAGUCGACUUUGUCUUUCAUAUUUUCGGGGUCGAUAAAUUAAGUACCAGUUACGCACUGCGGUCGAUGUAAUCGAGUUAAUCCCUUUGUCUGUCCUUGUUUGUCCCCUCUAUGCUUAGCCCCUUGUGGGCAAUAAAGAAAUUAAAAACGUUAGCACCCCGGGCGAAAUGCUUAGCGGUAUUUCAUCUGUCUUUGUUCUGAGUUCAAAUUCCACCGAGGUUCGCAUUACCUUUCAUCUUUCGGGGUCGAUAAAUUAAGUACUAGUUGCGUACUGGAGUCGAUCUAAUCGACUAGCCCCCUCCCCCAAAAUGUCGGGCAUUGUGCCUAGAAUAAAAAAGAAUACUAUGGACUACAUUAUUCUACCGAGGUCGAUUUAAUAUCUUAUUCAUAAUUUCGGAGUCCAUAAAAUAAGUAGUAGACGAGCACUGGAGUCGAUCUAAUCGACUGGCCACCUCCCCUAAAAUUUCGGGCCUAGUGCCUAGAAUAGAAAAGAAUAUUAUGGACUACAUUAUUCUACCGAGGUCGAUUUAACUUUUCAUCGAUUUAACUUUUCAUCGAUUUAACUUUUCAUCAAUAGGUAGCAGACAAGCACUGUUAUAGACGUAAUCGAUCUUCCUCUUCCCUGAAAUUACUGGCCUUGUGCCAAAUUUGGAAACCGAUAUUAUGGGCGACAUUGUAGGGCAGUGAACUGGACAAAACCCUUAGCGACAUUUCUCCUCGCUUUAGGUUCGGAGUUCAAAUUCCGCUUUGUCUUCUAUCAUUUUGGUGUUGAUAAAGUAAGUACAAUUUGAAAAUUAGAUGUAUUCAGCUAACACCUACCUACUAAAUUUCAAGCCUUGUGCAGAGAAAAGAAAGUAUUAUAGACUACAUUAUGGAAUGCAUCAUUUUAUGUUCAAGACAAUAGGGUUCUGCUGUUUAUAGCAUAUCGAUCGCAAGAUGUAAGAUCACCAUUCUCUUGUAUUCUAUUGAUUUAUGAGAUUACGAGGGAGGGAAUUGCGAAGAUAAAUCAGAAAGAUAACAAGUUACCUAAUUUUGGAAUUUAUUUCUGUUCGUCGAUCAAUCUUACAUGUUGCAAUAAUGUACAGUAAAUGUAAGUAGGCUGCUAAAGGCUGAGUUGACGACACGACGUAACGCAGGUGCGUUAAUACGAUCCUUGCGGAUAGCGGUAUCUUUUAAUCUAAUCUUUUACUCGUUUCAGUAAUUGGACAACAUCCAUGCUGGGGUCACCGCCUUGAAAUAUUAAUCUAACAAAUCGACACCAGUAUUGAUAUCUUUUAAAUCUCAUACUUUAUUUUGUCCGUAAAUUUUGCCGAAUCGCUAAGUUACGAGGGGGAGAAAAGAAGUCAAGACGGGUUGUCAAGCAGUAUUAGGAGAUGAGAAGAUAAGCCCAAACACACGUGUACACACACACACACACACACACACACACACACACACACACACACACACACACACACACACACACUCACACACAUAGAACGAACUUCCACAAAAUUUCCGUCUGCAAAAUUCAUUCACAAUCCAUUGGUUAGUCCGGAUUUAUAGUUGAAGUCACGUGCCCAGAAUAACGCCCAGUGAGAUCGAACCCGAAACCACAUAUUGCAAAGCGAGUUUCUUUACCAAAUCGCACAAUAGUUUGUCUUAAAUACAAAACGUUAUACACACACACACACACAAAAAAAAAAAAAAACAAUGUAAUCUGUAAUAAACACAAACGAUGCGAUGGCCACGGCCGGAAUACCUUUGAUCAUACCCUGUUCAAUCAGCACUGACCUGCGGCAAAGCAAUAACAGCUUCAAUGCAAUCUCCGGAUGCAGCCAUUUUCUUUUGUUUAUGACAUUAGCUGCACUGGUAUAACUAGGAAAUUGUAUAUCACACCCGUUCAUGUGUUCAGUGAAAGUAAACUAAUAUUGACAAACUGACUGUAUUGGAUGAAAGUUACGGUAAAUUAGAGACAAAUUGCUGGUAAGGUUAUUAGAAGAACGUACGAGGUGCAUUCCAGAAGUUUUGAGACUUUUUAUGGGAAGCAGUUAUAACUGUCAUAGAUUAUAGUUGUGGUAGUAUAUCAUAGCUAUAAAAAAUGCGCCCCUUUUAAAGCCUAGCCAGACUCAUGGGCCCAGUUUCCCGGUUUUUAUGCCGUAUGUGUUCCCCAGCUGAACGGGACGCCAGUCCAUCGGAGCAUUACUCAUUUUUGCCAGCUGAGUGGACUGGAGCAACGUGAAAUGAAGUGUUUUGCUCAAGAACAGAAUGCGUCACCCGCACCAGGAAUCGAAACAACAAUUUUACGAUUGUGGUGCUGACACUCUAACCACUAAGCCACGUGCCUCCACUAUUAUAGCUAUACAUCUAAUAAACUGACCUGCCAACUAUUUUCAUUCCAGAUCGAAGGAGACGGCUGUAGCAUCACUUUGAUCACGUCCUACUAUUACUGAGCGUUUCAGCUGAUCAGGAUAUAGAGGCAGCUAUGCACUAAAAUUCGUGUCUAACUGGGCAAAAUGCUACAAAAUCUUGUGAAAUGUUCCAUACCGCAUAUGGAAUAACUUCUCCCAUUGUACAUAAAGUUCAUUGAUGGUAAAGAGAUGAAAGGUUUGGGAGAGAGAGAGGACGACAGAACAUCAAAGCUAGGGAAGAAAAUUGGCUGUGGCUACUGUACAAAGAAUUAUGAAAAAUUGAGGCAAAAUUUGGGCCAAGUUUGUUCUCAGGGUACUCAGUGACAAGCAUUCAGGUAACCAAAUACUUGAUAGAGCUGGACAUCCAAGAGUUUCUUCUCUGUGACUUUUGAUUGGCCCCAAAGCUGAAGGAGGACCUCAAGUGUAGUAAUUUUGAAGACUAUGAAGGCUGUGACAAGGGUCCCAGAUAACCUCAAUUUGGAAGAAGUUCAUGCUGGAGCACUACAAGUAUAUUGAAGACAGAGGCUUCUACUAUGAAGGACCUUAGGGCCUUGCAGUUUGAAAUUAAUAGAUAUCUUUCCAUAAAAAAGUAUUUUCUAAUAUAGGCACAAGGCCCGAAAUUUUGGGGGAGGUGGCCAGUCGAUUAGUUCGACCCCAGUCUUUAACUGGUACUUAAUUUAUCGACCCUGAAAGGGUGAAAGGCAAAGUCGACCUCGGUGGAAUUUGAACUCGGAAAGUAAAGACAGACGAAAUACCUAUUUCUUUAUUAGCCACAAGGAGCUAAACAUAGAGAGGACAAACAAGGACAGACAAACGGAUUAAGUCGAUUAUAUGGACCCCAGUGCUUAACUAGUACUUAUUUAAUCGACCCCAAAAGGAUGAAAGGCAAAGUCAACCUCGACGGAAUUUGAACUCAGAACGUAACGGCAGACGAAAUACGGCUACGCAUUUCGCCCGGCGUGCUAACGUUUCUCCCAGCUCACCGUAAAAAGUCUAAAAAUUUUGGAAUGCAUUUUGUAGUUUCAAUUUUUGGUUUAGAUUAACCCAAAUCAAUUUGACCGUUUUUAGUAGCUUAAUAAAAGGACCAAGUGUAGAGUCUACGGCUUUCUUUGCAGGAUUCGCAAGGCUAAAGAGAAAGGCUAAAAGAAGCUACGAUCCAUACAUGCGUUAAAGCUAGAACGGGCACUUGGCCAAAAUGUUUGUUCCAAAUAAAAACUAAAGCAUCAAGGAAAGAUUUGGUCUUCUAAUAACUUUACAAGCAAUUUGUUUCUAAUUUACUGUAAGUUUCAUCCAAUAUAGUCAGCUUGUCAAUUUUAGUUUAUUUUCACUCAACACAUGAAUGGGGGUGAUAUACAAUUCCUAGUUAUACCAGUACAGCUAAUGGCAUAAACAAAAGAAAAUGGAUGCAUCCGGAGAUUGCAUUGAUGCUAUUAUUGCUUUACCGCAGGUCAGUGCUGAUUGAACAGCGUCUGCAUAGAUUCCGUCUACACAGCUUCAUUAUCAACAUUUGGAUGGAGUUGAGGUCAAUCUAGAAAAUUUUGCCCCAAGUUACAGAGAGUAGGAUCGAACAUGGGACAGCUACAGUGUGAAAAACGCUUCAUGGCUAGACAAUCGACUCAUUAUGUUGCGAAACUGAGCUUUUCAACCUCGAGUACAAUAUGAGAGAAAAGUGGAGAGGAAGAAGAAGAAGAAGAAGAAGAACAAGAAGAAAAAAAGAAGGAAGAAAAAGAAGAAGAAGAAGAAGGAGGAUGAGGAGGAAGUGGAGGAGAAGAAGAAGAAAGAAAAGGAAGAAGAAGAAGAAUAAGAAUAAGAAUAAGAAUAAGAAGAAGAAGAAGAAGGAGGAGGGGAGGAGGAGGAGGAGGGAAAAGAAAAGGAAGAAGAAGAAGAAGAAAGAGAAGAAGAAGAAGAAGAAGAAGAGGAGGAGGAGAAAGAAAAGGAAGAAGAAGAAGAAGAAAGAGAAGGAAGAAGAAGAAGAAGAAGGAGGAGGAGGAGGAGGAGGAGAAGAAGAAGAAAGAAAAGGAAGAAGAAGAAGUGAAGAAGAAGAAGAAAGAGAAGGAAGAAGAAGAAGAAGAAGAAGAAAGAAAAGAAGAAGAUGGAGGAGGAGGAGGAGGAGGAGAAGGAGAAGAAAGAAAAGGAAGAAGAAGAAGAAGAAGAAGAAGAAGAAGAAGAAGAAGAAGAAGAAGAAGAAGAAGAAGGAUGAAGUGGUGAAGAAUAAUAAUAAGAAGAAAAUUCCAGUACGGAAUUAUUACAGGCAAAUUUUGCCACGAUGGGAUUUGAACAGAGUUAGUAUGAAUAGCUGAAGCUCUCUAGCGACACUCUGUUAGUGCCCCUCACUAGUUAGAGAGCAAGUUACGGUUCGAUUCUCUCUUUAAAGCAUUAAAACUGAUCUUCACAGCGCCAAAUCCUUAGAGCAAGUCAUUUUAGUGGUCUUGUGUAAUUCAAAUAUUUUUCGUAAUCGUAUUAAGCCAGGCAGAAUCGUUAACAUAUCGGGCGACAUCCCAUUCACUUUUAGGUUCUGGGUUCAAAUUCUGCUAAGUUCGACUUUGCCGUUUAUCCUUUCGCGGUUGAUAAAAUGAGUACUAGUGAAGCACUGUUACUCGACUUCGUCACCCGUCAAAAUUGCUGGCCUUGUGCCAAAACAAGAAAGGAGCAUUAGUAAUCGAAUUAAGUCGGCAAUCUUACAGAAUUGUCAGUAGUCAUUGGGGUAGCUGUGUGGUAAGUUGCUUGCUUACCAACCAAAUGGUUCCGGGUUCAGUCCCACUGCGUAGCACCCUGGGCAAGUGUAUUCUACUAUAUACUCGGGCCGACCAAAGCCUUGUGAGUGGAUUUGGUAGACGGAAACUGAUAGAAACCCGUCGUAUAUAUAUAUAUAUAUAUAUAUAUAUAUAUAACUAACUACAAAAUUAGAGAAUGGAGAAACCUACUUAAAUCAAUAAAACAUCAACUAUCAGAUGAUACCCAAUCAAUACUUUAAUACACCAUUACAUAUCAGUAAAGGCAUUAUAAAAAAUAUACAGUAAGAGUAAAUAGACAAAGAGAUAUAAGUAUAAAAUUUCAAAUAUAAUAUGUAAUUAAAUCAAUUCUGACAGCUGUUUCGGCAGUGAGGGCAGUCAUACCUCAUUUAACCUAUAAGCCAUAAAGGCAGGUAUAAAUGAGGCAUUAACAAGGAUGCCCCACGGCCUCUUCAGAGAAUUAAAUUUGUUAUAAUUGUGAAAAAGAUUAUUUAACCAUAUACAUAUAAAUAUAAAAAUAAAAAAAUAUAAAAAUAUAAAAAUGUAAAAUAUAAAAACUUAUACAUAAACUUCAUAAUGCUACACUUAUAUAAUAUAAUACUCAUUAGUACAAUAAUGGAAGGUAAACAGAACAUAUAUAUAUAUAUAUAUAUAUAUAUAUAUAUAUAUUUAUAUAUUUCUAUAGGUGUGUGUGUAUAUGUGUGUGUGUGUAUGUUUGUGUGUCUGUGUUUGUGCCCCUCCAACAUCGUCCACGUAACUUAGCGGUUCGGCAAAACAGACCGAUAGAAUAAAUACUAGGCUUACAAAGAAUAAAUCCUGGGGUUGAUUCGCUCGACUAAAGGCAGUACUCCAGCAUGGCCAUAGUCAAAUGACUGAAACAAGUGGAAGUAUAACAUUUUAUUUAAUAAUUUUGCAGAACAUGCUUAAAUCCGAUGGACUGCAAUUAAUUCAAAUAUUACAAAGCUUCACUGUGAGAUAAAUAAGAAUGUAAGCCCAUUUUUUCAACAGGAUAGGGAGUUUGCCACGGACCGUUUCAUGGCUUGUUGACCAUUUCUCAGAGAAGACGUAUCUAUUCCUUUCCUUUCUCAAUAGUACAGAUUAGAAUCUAUAUAAAAGAAGCACGAAUAACGUUAUCACCACGAUUCAUAACCCAAUUCGUAUAUUUGUACUUUUGAAAGCUCGUAAUUAAACAAUAUUUAUAUACAACACAGUAUAAAUUCGAAAUGUAAUAAAUUUGAAUAUAACAAAGGCCCCCGUGGUUUAAGCAAGAAUGUAAAUUUAUUUUUUCUAAACUAUUGACGUAUGAAGAAAAGGAGCUCUCAAUACAUUUCUGCUGCUGCUGAUUGCUGUUACUACUACUACUACUAGAUAGAUUCGGGCAAAUUUCUACUGCAUUACCUGCUACAUUUCCGUAUUGCUGGGGGUGUGUUCUUGUUGUUGUUGUUGCUGUUGUUGGGGGAGUACAAACUCUUCCAGUAUUUUUUGCAUCAGUUUUUUAUAUGUUUUGGCUAGAGUUUUUUGUUGUGUUAGUGUUUUUGUAUUGUGCGUUGUGUGUGUGUAAUACGAGUCGGGUUCUGUUGGGAAUCUGCCCUGUAGAGUACAUGCUGUGGGGGUUGUUUAUUUUGUUGGAAUCGUGUUUGUGGAUUGUUUUAUUUGGAUUCUACUGUAUUGCAUAGGAUGUGCGCUAUUCCUAGCUGGGUUAUCUUUUGGAUAGUGUGCAGCCUAGUGGGUCCACGUAUUGUUGUGUUGAGGGUCCAGUUACGUAGUGAUUAGUUUGCAUGUAUGUAGUGUUGAGGGCCCAGGUAUUGCAAUUAUCAUUAUUAUUAUUUUUAUAUACGUACAACAGAUUAGAAUGUUGGAAAAGAAAAAAAUUCUAAUAUCCGGCUACAACAAGUAGCCCUAGAUGCCAAGAACCCUCCUAAGUAUCCAGCUGUCUCUAAUAACACUGUUUUCUGCAACUGUACUCAACUGGGUUUUAUGCCUAUUUCCUCUAUCUAUCUGUUCAAAUCUUUAGGGAUUUUUUUCCAAAUGUACCUAUAACUGCAGGGAUACAUUUUUAUCCGCACAUCCCACAGUCGUUGUAAUUCAAUGGCUAGACCCUGGUUCUUUGCUAUUUAUUUCUAUGCCCCUCAUAUUAAUUUUUUCAUAAUUUUGGACUGUAAAAUCAAUUAUCUGGCAUUUUCUAUUGUCUUUAUCUACCGCUAUUAAAUCUAGCUUCUAAUACUCUGUCAGUCUGAAUGUUAAAGUCCCACAACAUCUUGUGUUUCUUACUUUCUAGUAAUUUAUUAUGUUCAUGUUCAUACCAUUUAUCAGUAUGUUCAAAUCCUAGCUUUCUACAUAACUCCCAGUGGAUUACUCUCCUUAGGCUGUCAUGUCAUUUCUUGUAUUGUUUCUGUGCCACCAUUCUACAUUCAAUACUAUAUGAGUAACGUUUUCGUCUUUUGAUUUGCAUAACCUUCAUUGGAAAUCUACUUGGUUUCUGUCUAUCUUGACUUUUACCCAAUUAGUCCUUAAUGCUUGAUCUUGUUUCGCUACAAACAAACUUUGUGUCUUUUUUUUCAGCCUUCCUUUCUGAAACUAUAGCUAUGUUUCACUACUGCUAUUUGAUGAAACUGUCUUUGGGAAUCUACCAUGCAACGCCUCCUGCUAGUCAGAUAAUUUCUGUUCUUUGGUCUGGUUUUGAACUUCAUUUGGUGUCUUAAUUUCCCUAUGUCUUGCUGUGAUUCUAGCAGUUUCUAAUAAACUUCCUUCAUUAUUACCUACAUAGGAAUCUAUAUCUACUCUAGCUAACUCCACGCAGUCUUCCACUGAUAUCAACCCUCUUUCACCUUCUUUUCUAGGAAGGUAUAAACUUGCUACUUCUGCCCUUGGGUGGAGUCCUCCAUUCACAUUGAAUUCAUUCCUAGUUAUUCUGUUUAGCUUUGCAAAUUCAGUUUUUGCCCAAUCAACAAAAGCUGUUGAUUAUCUUCGCAAUGUUUCUGCCCAAGUAUUUACAGCCUUCACUAGAUCCGAUCCACUUAGCUUUGACUUCAUUAGCUUCCUCACCUUUCUGAUAUACUCUUUCUCAAUGUUCGUUUUCAUUUCUAUAGUUAGUACUCUGUCAGAUCCUAAUACUCCUACCUAAUCAAUUCUCUUAAGUUGUCUGCUCUAUUGAAUAUACUCAAACAUUCACUUAUCCAUGAGUGUGGGAUCAUGUCGUAGGCUUUUCUAUAAUCUAUCCAUGCUAUUGUUAGAUUUUCGUUUCUAGUCUUUACUUCAUUUAUAACUGCUUUGUUUAUGUAUAAUAGAUCAUGCGUUCCUCUAGCCUGCUUCCUGUAACCUUUUUGUUCUGGCAGUACAUUCUGGUCGUCAAGGUGCUCGUAAAUGCUUUCUGAAAGCAUUCCUGUUAACAACUUUCACACUAAUGGUAAGCAAGUGAUUGGUCUAUAGCUUCUUGCUGUAUAACCCUUGCUCUUAUCUUUCAUACUGAGUAUUGUCCUCCCUCUAAUCAUCCAAUCUGAUGUUAAUUCUCCAUUAAAGCAUUCCUGAAGUAGUUCCCUCAGACUCUCAUGUAAACUACUAAAUUUCUUUUGUCUGUACCCUUGAACUAAAUCUGGUUCUGGUCCCUUCUAAUUCGGCAUUUACCUUACACUUUACUUAUUAAUGCACUAGUUAGCCUUAAAUCUGGCUGCUUCUCGCUCACUAUUUCUUCCCUCACUUUCUUUAACCAUACUGCAUCUCCGUUAUGAUUGACUGGUUUAUCCCAAAUAUUACUCCAGAACGUUCUAGCUUCUUCUGCAUUAGGUUUCUCAUCAUUAGUUCUUCGUUCUCCACUAUUUAUUUGGUUAUAAAAUCUCCUCUGGUCUGUCUCAAAUAAUCUAUUCUGUUAAUACCGAUCUAUUCUUUUCUGAAAUCCGCAAAGCUUGCCUACUACUGCUAUGAUACGUUGUUUCAACUCUUCUAUUACUGUCCCAAAUCCUUUCUCUUUGGCUAAGUGUAUUUUCUGAAGGGAAGAUUUGCAUCUUGUGUUUCCUAACUUGUUCAGUUUCCAGGCUUCUUUUCUACUCAGAUCUUCUCUUAAAGUCUUUACUGUAUUUUGUAGUCACCUUUUCCACAUUUGCUCUUUAUUAAUCCUUUCCUGUGAGAUAUCUAAUCUUCUAGUGACUACUGUCCCUCCUGCAUAGAUCAAUAAGCUAGUGUCUCCUAUAUUUUUAUGAUCUUUCCUACGGAUAACAGAAUCUACUUUCCUAGUUAUUUCUAGCAGCUUCCUUCUGUUGGUGCCUUUUAAUGCUGGCGAUCAUUUUCUUACUUCUUUACUCAUUACUUCCAGCGACUCAUCUAAAAUCUUCUGAUCUUCCUCACUUAAAUCACUUAAGUCGCUGAUGCCAGUUGUCCCUUCGUUAUUUUUCCUUUAAGUGUUUCUUUGGUUUGAUUUGUAUCUCUUAUGUUGUAGUUUGUCUUUCCCACUGCCUGAUCUUUCUUUUCCGGUUCUCUUGUGAUCUCUUCUACCUCCAGUUCUGUCAGCCACUUUCGUCUCCUUAUAGCAUUAGCUUGAUCUACUAAUCUCUGCUCGGUCCCUUUAAACAUAUUUUUCUCUGCGCAAAGUGUUAACAUCCGUUUUCUCUAGCCCCUUCUUUUAGGUUCACCUUUUACGAGGCACUGCAUCACUAUCCUAUUUUCUUCGCUGGUUCACUUCCUCGUCCUUACUCUAUUAUCUGCUUAUACUGUAUUAGGAUACCAACUGCGGUCAAUCUGCAUCUUUACUGAACCACUGCCGAGCGAGAGGCCUUCCCUUAAAAGUCCAGCUUCAUUUUCGCUGUUACAAUCAGUUUCUUCGGAAACUUCUGUCUCUCACAAACUGAGAUAAAGUAAUGUUCGUCCCCAACGUCAUCUCCACUACUAUUUUUUGAUAUCUGAUAGUUUCAAGCAACUCUCUAUUGCAUCCUUUGUUGCACCUUCGUGCUGGUGUGGUGGUGUGUGCCACAUUUUUUGUGGGGUGGUGUAUAUUGUAUUGUAUCAGUAUGUUUUGUUAUGGGGUUUGGUUUAAGUCUUCUGUUGUAUUUGUUUUUGUAAUGUGUGUUGUUUGUACAGCGCAGGUUGUGUUCUUCUGUUGGGUAUCGGCCUUCUAUGACAUAUAUCUAUUUCUUUACUAUCCACAAGGGGCUAAACACAGAGGGGACAAGCAAGGACAGACAAACGGAUUAAGUCGAUUACAUUGACCCCAGUGCGUAACUGGUACUUAUUUAAUCGACCCCGAAAGGAUGAAAGGCAAAGUCGACCUCGGCGGAAUUUGAACUCAGAACGUAGCGGCAGACGAAAUACUGCUACGCAUUUCGCCCGGCGUGCUAACGUUUCUGCCAGCCCGCCGCCUUCUAUGACAUAUAUCGUAGGCUUUGUUCAUUGUUUUGUGUAUUUACGGUAUGAGUGUAUUCCUGUAUGGUUUGGUGGGAGUGUUGGUUAGUAGAGUGUAUAAAUCAAUACUCAACUAUUUCACAGUAUUUAUAGUUAUCUGUCAAAAUACUUACCGGUAUUUCGUCUUUGCAUCCUGAAUUCAACUUUCCUCGAGGUUAACUUAACUGUUAAUUCUUUUGGGGUUGAUAAAAUGAAUCAGGUACUUUUUGAGGACAGGAAUCGAUGUAAACGACACACAUCUCCCACGCUAAAAUUACUGGCCUUGUUUCAAAAUUUGAAGCCAUUAAUAGUAAUGUUAUUAGCAUCAUCCUCGUUACGUUAUUUUCAUCAUAAUUAUUCAUUGUUUGCAACAUAGAAAGCAUGAAUGAUCUCCAGAAUUUAUGUAAUCCUUUUUACAACGGUUUGGUAUCAGCUGGAGACCGUGCAUACAAGUGUUACAACACUCUAUUUAAAGUGUUCUCAUACUGUAACAACGAUAGCGUAUAAAAGCGCUUAUGGUCCUAUACAGGAACUUUACUAAUGUCCUUACAGAAAUGGCAUUGUUGCAGUGUUGUUAUGAUAAUUACAAAUGGAUUGAUAACUUCAUGAUUUCACCAGCUGCGUCGAUGUAAGUUCUUUGUUUUUCGGCUCUCUUCUAUACUUCUUAUAGUGAUUUGGGAUUACUGUGUGAAUAAUUAAUUUGCUAUUAUGAUUUUUGUCUUGGAGAAUGAUAUCAGAUUCAUUAUGCACUAACUUCUGCUCUCUUUGUAUGCUGAUGUUCCAUAGUGUAUAGGUAUUGUUAUUAUUUUCUAAGACAGUUGGAGGUUCAAACGUAUAACAAGCGGUUUUUGUCUUGAAGCAUUUUAUUCAUGUUGACUAUUUCUCUCUCAAUUAACUUUAUUACAUUAUUGUGUUUUCAUGUAUAAUUUGUUAGAGAUAGCUUGAAAUAUCCUGUUAUAAAGCGGUCCAUUGUUUCAAUAAAUACUCAGUAUUAGUGAUAUUAGCUAUUUAUAGUGUAGGAGCUGUGGUUAUUCACUUUAAUAUAACAGUGAUCAUGGUCUGCUCUUGUAUCACAAAUAUUGUUCUCUCCUUUAACCCUUUCAUACUGAAAUUUCGCAUACAGACCGGAGUUUAUAUUUUAAUGUAGGUGGUGUUCAGCUAGUAGAUGGAUUAGCCAGUUACAGUCAAACUUUUAUAGUUGUUCACCACAGUUGAGUAAAUGCUGUCAGUAAAUCCGUUUUGCUGCAUCUUUAAAUUCAAACUUUAGCUGUUCGAAAUACACACGAAUUUCUCGUAUUGAGAAUUUUCUUACGUUUUACAUUUUUUCUUUUAAUAAUCAACAAGGACACGUUGCAGGCCCUGUGAGUUGAAAAAAUAACGUCGAUAUUAAUGAUUUUCUUAUCUUUCUAUCUGCGCUGAACAGUCCUUUAUCACCCUCUCUUCUAGCGAUGAGAGAAUUGAGGUAUUGCAUUCAGUGUAUUAUUUUAAUAGAUUUCUCGUAUAAGCAGUCUAAAGAAUUUCAUUCUCUCACGACCCACAGAGUUACGCAUAAAAGCUGGCAUUGAAAAUGGGAUGAUGACACGUAUGCUUUUGACGUGUAAGUUUAAUGUUUUUCAACAACCAAAAUAUUCGUUUUUCGUUCUCAUUUGAAUGCUUUUCAAGUACAUUGAUUUGCUCACUUCUUUCUGCUUUGCAAGUUGCAUUAAUAUAUAUUCGUCGUCGGUGUCGGUGAAUUGGAUUCCUGUAUAAUAUUGGAGCUUUUGUAACAGCUGCAAAUAACUCCUGACGCCGUUUAAAUUCCAAUAACCUUCACUCGUCAACACACUACAAUCACUAAUCCACUCACGAACUCUACGAACUUCAAUCUUACUUUUUCUUUUCUUGUAAUAACACCGCUGAUGUUUUGAACUAAGUAAAAAUGUGUGCUGCAAAUGUUUAAAUCAACCCGAUGUACCAGCUUACCUUUGAACCAUCUGCUUUCUACACUGAGCCACAGUCCUGAGCCAAAGUGCAGCCAAAGUUCCUUCUUAAAUUAGCAGUCCAAUGAAACUCCUACCCAGUUCACGUAUUUUUCUUAUAACCAUCAACGAAGGAAGCUCCUAUGAUUAACACUCAAAUCUCCCUCAAAUAAAGCUUGAAAGCUUGAAAAGAAAGCAGUGUCCACGAUAAACAAGACAAGAUAAUCACGACUUGAACACAGUUUGUUCAUAGUUUCGCUAUAAUCAAGGAUGAUCUGGCUCUGACAAUGACAGAAAUGAACUGUCCAUGUGCCAAUCUGUGAUUAGUACAUAAUCAGCUCUCGACUGAAACAGUAAUCAGCUAUGUCCCAUUGCGUUUCAUCAAUGCACAGCUGAUCAAAUAUGUAAUAAUAACGCACUGUGGUUGAUAAAAUCGAUUCGGAUACACAAAAAAACAGAGAAAUGAAAGAAUCAUUACAAAGUCGGAGAGAAUGCAUUGCUAUUCAAGUUAGUCCUGUUUAAAAGCACGGUGCUGUGUUCAAAUCCUACCACCAAGGGCAAGUUUACGCUCCAUAUUUCGAGGCCUAUAGAGUAACACUUGAGUACUCGAGCCGUUCGUUCUCGCUAUCAAACUUUUCUUUCUAUUUUCCAUUCCAAUGUCAACCUAUUCGUCCGACUGUUUCCCUUUUCUCGCGGACUCGGUUAAGUUGAAGGGAAGUAGGGGAAAGAUACGUCAGAGUCCUACCGAUCCUUCUACCACUAUAAUAUUUGGAACUGUUUAGAAAGAAAAUCCCACAAACACGUUUGUCGUAUUCAACAUGAUUGAUUUCUAGCAUCGGUGCGUAGUCACGUACUUUGAAUAAGUUUCUUAUAACGGCCACGGCACUUGAUGUGUACGUAUUUUAUAAUGACCACCGACAUAAAUGAAAAUGAGAAAUUCGACCUCAGAGGGAAUUACAAGCACAAAAUAAAUGAGCAAAACUAAGAAGCGUCAGGUAUUUUCUCCAAUAGCCUUCCGAUGUUUCCAGUCUACCAUUUUAUGCUGUUAGUCAUUCCACAGCGCUACCAUUAACGAUGACAGGAGACAUAAUGAUGAUGAGAAUAAUGAUGGUCAUGUUGAGUAAUGCAAUAAUAACAACCACGAAGAUAAUGCUUGGGUGAUUCCUUCUCCGCUGUUUUUCUUUACCUUAUCUUCAUAUCAUCAAUAUAAUAAUGACCAUCAUCAUCAACAUCAUCAUCAUCAUAACAUACCUUCUAAAAGAACUAACGUUAACACAAAGUGCAAACGCGAGGCUGCCGUUUAGCCUUUUAAGUAAAUGUCAAUUUUAUGUUGUACAUAAUGUUAUCUUUAAAGUGUAUCUAUGACCAUGUGUGACCAGCUCCGUUUAUAUGCGAUAUAUAUGUGUGUGUGUGUAUAAUAUGAGUGUAUAUGUAUAAUAUAUGUAAGUUUGUGUUUGUGCGUGUGAAUGUGUGACUGUGUGUGCGUGCGUGCAUGCAUGUGUGUUUGUGUGUGUUGGAAAUUGAAUAAUAUAUUUGAAAUUCUGGAAAGUUCAGGUAACACUGAGCCAAUUUUCAUAAGGUAUCAUUUCAUAUAGGAAAAGUGCUUGUACAUGUAAAAGUACAAAUACACACACACACACGUGCGCGCAAUAACUCACACAUAAAAUAUAUCUACAUACAUAUAUAUCUGUAAUAUAAUAUGUGGCAAAUUAUUCGAUUGCCAUAAUAAGACUCCGAGUUUCGGAUGUCGGGGCGGAAACCUGCUCCGGCACCUCUUCAGUUAUCGAGGCAAUCCUCGGAGCCUUAUUAUGGCAACCGAAUAAUUUGUCACGUAUGUUACUGAUAAAUUCCUCUAUUUACAUAAUAUCAAGGUCUCUUUCAUUCUUUUGUUGCCUUACUAUUAAUAUAUAUGCAUAUGCUGAGACCCCCCUUCGGUCAUGACUGACCAUGGGAUUGCACCUAGAGAGUUACCCUCCCAGGCACAAGUCCGGGCAAGGUUGUUUAUGGAGGACCAGUAGUCUCCCAUGCAUACCGGCCUCCCCUCUCCACGCCACCAGUGUUAUCCAAUGGAAAGGCAAAGGCUGAUACAGCUUGGCACCUGUGACGUCGCAACUCAUUUCUACAGCUGAGUGAACUGGAGAAAUGUGAAAUAAAGUGUCUUGCUCAAAAACACAACACGCAGCCAGGUCCGGGAUUCGAACUCACAACCUCAUGAUCGUACGCUCGACGCUCUAACCAUUGAGCCAUGAUUCCUAAUCCGCUCAUAAGGCUUGAAUGUGUUAGGGGUCGGUAAGAUAAGUAGCAGUUGAAUAUUGGAUUCGAUGUAAUCGACUUAACUUGCCCACGAAAUUUGUGGCCUUUUACCAAAAUUUUAAAGCAAUAUUUUAUUAACAUAUACGGGUAUAUUAUUUAAUAUUGCUGUAAAUGCAAAUCUGCAUUCUUUUAGAAGAUUGUACAAUUUAGGAAAUGAAAAUUAGUGUAAGCGUUGUGUAAAAAAAAAUCCGUCACCGAGAACUAAGACCGUUGCAGGUUUUGAUUCAGAUGCUUUUGUUUGAGUCAAAAUUUUUGAUAUGAAAUGCAUCUUACAGAUCUCAGCUGUGCUUUUAAAAUCGAGUUGCGAUGAUGCCUUUAAUAUUAAUGUUUUCGUAAUUAAAGCCAACAGAGAUAUUUUGAGGUGUUGCAGUACGAAUUCUACUCUACGCCGUACAACUUUUGAAAUUGAAUCCAAUAAAAAUUACAUUAAUACUUCAAUGAAGAAAGGUUUUGCAAAGAACGUUGUUAUUAAAAUGUGUUACUCAGUGAAUGCUCACGCUCUCGCAUUCUCUCUCUCUCUCUUUCUGUCUCAUUCCCUCUGUUUCCUUAUUCCAUUGUUCGAGUAAGAAAGAGAGAGAGAGAGAGAGAGAGAGAGAGAGAGAGAGAGAGAGAGAGUGUGUGUGUGAAAUUGGGAGACUGAAAGAGACAGAAAAUAUGAGAAAGAAAGAAAGGGAGAGAUAAGGUGAAUCAAACAAAGACGCAAAAGAGACUGACAGAAAAAUAAUUUUGAUUUCACAAACAUACUACCGCCUUCAUCACCGUCAAACUCCUCCAUCUCGCGAUAUCUCAAUCUUUUCUGUGUGUGCACGUGCGCGCGCGUCUAUGCUUGUGUGUGGUGGUGGUGGUGGUGUGGUGUGUGUGUGUGUUUUAUGCUAUUUUAGACAUAGAUAGUGAGAUCUAGAAAGAAAAAGCUUCGUCACAGCUUCCCCAUACUUUUCUCGACCUGUUUUCUCGAAAGAAAAUAUAUACGAUUUGAGAGAAGUUUGACUCCAAGUUCUCAAAAUAUGUUAUGCCGUUUCAGUGCGAGAUCACGAACAUAUAUUCUUUUGUAGGUAUUCAUUUAAUACUUUAUGAAAAUACGGUGGACACUGACAAAGUCAACUCAAUUCUAUAUAUCUCUAAAUCAUAUUAAGGAAUCUCGUAAUAACAUUUUAUUAACAUAAGAUUAACAACAACCCUUUGCCAAUAUUAACUGUAAUUAUCAUAAAUGGCUUCUACUAUGAACACAUAUUCACAAGGUAAUUCAGUCGUAGCGACCGAAUUCAAUACGAUUCAGUACUUCUACACCCAAUGAAAAUAGAAGAUAUUCCGACACCGAUGUAACUCUGAGAUUUCCCAUCACAAACAUCUUCAUACACAUACUACGUCUGUAUGCCUAGAGCGCAUUCUUUUGAUUUUGGUAGUGAUUACAGUGGUUGUGCAAUAGCUUAUCUGAAAGUUCUGAUAACAAUAGCCGGAAUUUUUCAACUAAUAAGCGGUUGCAUUACGUUUAAUUCCUUCUGCAUAAAGAGUUCAAGAGCCGCUAAUUAUGAUAAAAACGAACGUUGGAUAAAAUUGUUAGAAAUUAUACAAAGAAAUAACGUUUCUAUAUACAUUUUCAUAUGCAUGCGUAUAUAUAUAUAUACAUAUAUACACAUAUAUAUAUAUAUAUACAUAUAUAUAUAUAUAUAUAUAUAUAUAUAUAUAUAUGUGCAUAUAUAUAUAUAUGUAUAUUUAUACAUAUAUGUAUAUAUAUAUAUAUUUCUCUCUCUCUCUCUCUCUCUCUAUAUAUAUAUAUAUAUACAUACAUACAUACAUACAUACAUACAUACAUACAUAUAUAUAUAUAUAUAUAUAUAUAUAAAAAUAUAUAUAUAUAUAACCAAAUAUGGAAAUGCAUACACACACACAUACAUGCAUGUAUGUAUACAUCGACAUAUUUACAUACGUAAAUCUGAAGAAAUUCAAUAAGUUCGAUGAUUACAAACCUGAAUGUAAACAUGUGGAAUAAAGUUUUGAGCACAUUGUCUCUAUGCAAAUAAUGUGCAGCAAAGAAGGAGCGAAACACCUCCAUUUUCCUUCCUCGAAUCAAUAGUUUAUACAGACUCGCUGUAUAUUCUUAGCUCAGAAGGAAGUUUAUAUAAAUUUAUAUACACGUACAAAGGCACAGAUAGCAGUACUUACAUACACGCAAACACAAAUAUACCGCCGUUUGCACAUAAAAACAGACAGUCAAAUGCAAACACAUACACAUUCACGCACGCACAUACACACACACACGCACGUACGCACGCACACUCACACACCCACUUGUGUAUAUCUUUUAUCUAUUAAUUCUUUCAGUAAUUCGUCUAUCGAUUUCAAGCAUAAAAACGCGCGGAUAAGAGAGAAGUAAAAGAAAAGAUAUAUAUAUAUAUAUAUAUAUAUAUAUUACGGAGAUGUACUUGCAUAGCGAGUGACUUGAUCUGAGACCGUGUGAUGAAACAAAAACAAUUGCAGCGUGGAAGGUGUUUAUAAGCCAUUUAAGAAACACACAAAACCGUUAGAUUCACUUCAACAUUUAAAUUUAAUUUGUCAAAAUAUUUUCGUCGCUUUGAGACCGCGACCUGUUCACUGACAAAGCUUCGUGCUGCAUAUAUAUAUGUAUAUACUCUCUCUCUCUUUACUCUUUUACUUGUUUCAGUCAUUUGACUGCGGCCAUGCUGGAGCACCACCUUUAGUGGAGCAAAUCGACCCCGGGACUUAUUCUUUGUAAGCCCAGUACUUAUUCUAUCGGUCUCGUUGCCGAACCGCUAAGUGACGGGGACGUAAACACACCAGCAUCGGUUGUCAAGCAAUGCUAGGGGGACAAACACAGACACACAAACACACACAAGCAUAUAAAUAUACAUACAUACGACGGGCUUCUUUCAGUUUCCGUCUACCAAAUCCACUCACAAGGCUUUGGUCGGCCCGCGGCUAUAGUAGAAGACACUUGCCCAAGUUGCCACGCAGUGGGACUGAACCCGGAACCAUGUGGUUAAACUUCAAUUUAAUAUAUAAUAUAUAUAUACACAUACUAUAUAGGCAUAUGCAUAUACGUGCAUCCGUACCUAAAUGCAUGUAUACAUACAUAUAUACAAACAUCUAACAUACAUACAUUCAUACGUACAUACAUACAUACAUGCAUGCAUGCAUGCAUGCAUAUAUUCAGCUUUAGUUCACAAAAUCCACUGACAGAAUUCACCCAUAAGCGUUUUCUUAUUUGCAUCAUGAAACCAAUACGUGACCGAGAGCUCAGACUGCCAACCCUCUUUUUGCGUCUGACUGUGGUCACUGCAAUAUCGAUAUUCUUCCCUGUCUCUGUGAAAGUUUUGUAUCUCUGCCGUAAGGCUUCAUUUCCACACACGCCAGCUGAAUUCAAUUCAUCUCCAGUCGAAAGACACCAGUUGUUAUGUCCUGUUAUUAUUAUUAUUAUCAUUAUUAUUAUUAUUAUUAUUAUUAUUAUUAUUAUUAUUAGAUCUCUUUUUUUAUAUUCGUGUAACAUCGCCUGUUUUUCCGUCCUUGUUUUCGUAUACAUUCGAUGCUUUCUUCCAAGAAAUCUAAUGGUCUUAGCUUAGGUUUUCUUUGGGGCUGGCCAGAUUGGAGCAACCUCUAGAUUAAUCAGCCGAAAUUGCGAGGAUGAUCUGGUUAUUGACUAAGGAUAGGAAGUUUCGAAUAAACCGUCCUUGUUUUUCGGUAUCGUCUAUCUGGAUGUUUUGUUGUCUCUUUUUGUAUCAUCUAGUUGUCCGGAUGUUUUGCGUUCUUGUCCCGUUUUGUAUUAUAUAUAUAUAUAUAUAUAUUUAUUUAUAGCGGCGUACGUACACUUUGUUCUCUUAUAUAUAUAUAUAUAUAUAUAUAUAUAUAUCCUAAAAUUGAAUAUGCUAAUAUCUACGUACGUACUUGUGUGUGUCACACUUACUUAAAAGGUAAAGUUAAAAUGAAAUAUAACUUGUCAAGUAGACCACCUACUAUGUGUGUUUGUGCGUGCGUGUGUGUGUGUGUGUGUGUGUGUGUGUGUGUGUGAGCAAAGAACAUGCAUAAUAUUUGUCUACAUAUAUAUAUAUAUAUAUAUACAUUUUCCAUAUGUGGUUGUAUCUGAGACACACUUUUUCCUAAAUAGUAUCUGAAAAAAAUCACUCUGGGACAAAGCUGGAUCUUUCAUAAGCUUUAAUACUCCAAGAAGGUGUCUCCUAAAUAUAUGUUGCUGAAAUGAGAGAACACUUUUGAUGUCAAAUACUGCAUAUUUAUAUGCUUGCACAAAAGCGAGAUUUUAUGGCAAACGCCAUAGUGAACGUAUAUAUGUAAAUCACUGUACAUACCGAUGUGCAGUGAAUAGGAAUAAGAUGUUUUUCUGAGUCUUCUAUUAUCAAAGUAUUUCAACAGAAAUGAUUGUAUUUUUCUUAGAUCGUAUAUAGGCUUUCAUGUAACUCGCGUCUUCUGAAGUAUAGAAAUUUGAAUAAAAGAGCAUUUAUGAUGUAUUUCAUAAGUUGAUAUGAACCCAGGGUUCUUUAAAUAUGUCACUUUUGGGAAAAUGGACACAUUGCUAAUGUCUGCAGUCUUCUUUUUUAAUUCUACAGAUGGAAGCCAUAAAUGUGUUUCGAUCGUCUUCGUUUUUCUCAGUAAAGGAUGUUCUAAUCCAUUGGCAACGUUUAUAAACAAUUAAUGCUUGCGUAUAUACAUCUCUCUCUCUCUCUCUCCAUCUAUAUCUAUCUAUCAAUCUAUCUAUCUAUCUAUCUAUCUAUCUAUCUAUCUAUCUAUCUAUCUAUCUAUCUAUCUAUCUAUCUAUCUAUCUAUCUAUCUAUCUAUCUAUCUAUCUAUGUCUUCAAACUUUUCAACCCUUGUGCCUAUAAUGGAAACACUUAUUAUAUGGGCGUUAUGCUGGAGGAAUUCUUAGCUCGCCAGACAAAAUGCUUAGCUGCAUGUCGGCAGUCCUCACGUUCCGAGAUCAAAUUCCGCUGAGGACAAAGUUUCCUUUCAAACGUUCAGAGUAGAUAAAAUAAGUACCAGUCGAGUCUGACAUAAUCGACUUACGUCAUCCCCCUAAAUUGCUGGCCCUGUGCCAAGAUUUGGAACCCGCUUUUUACAAUGAUGAGCUGGCAGAAUGUUUAGUAUGCCGGUCAAAAUGUUUUGUAGUAUUUCGAUAGUCUUAACAUUCUGAGUUCAAAUUCCGCCGUGUUCAAACUUUGCCUUUCAGCCUUCUGGAGUUGAUAAAAUAGGUAGCCUUCGAACACUGUGGUCGAUUUAAUCGACCUGCAUCACCUUAAAAUGUUUGGGUUUGACCCUUAAAGAGAAAGAAUAUUUAGCUGGCGAGCUGGCGGAAACGUAAGCAAGCCGGAGAAAAUGAUUAACGGUGUCUUUACAUUCUGAGUUCAAAUUUCGCCAAGGUCAACUUUGCCUCUCAUUCCUUCGCGGUCGAUGAAAUAAAUGCAAGUUACGCACUGGGAUCGAUGAAAUCGAUUAGUCUCCUUCCCAAAAUUUCAGACCAUAGAAAAAAAGGGUGAUCAUCUUUGUAGAAAGAAAGUGUUAUUAUUUUUAUAUAAAAAAAAGUGUUAUCAUUUUCAUAGAAAAAAAAGUGAUAUUAUUUUUAUAGAAAAAAAAAGGGGUUAUAUUUUUAUAGAGAAGAAAAAGGGUUCAUUUAUAGAAAAGAAAUUUUAUAUAUAAUUUUUUAUAAUAAUAGUUAUUAUUCAUAUUGCUAUUAGGAUGACCAUCCAUAAUCUAUUUCUCUGUUAUCAUCACUCCUCCUUAAUUUUGGCUCCAUUAGACUGAGUUAUGGUCUCUUUUAUUUUUACUUUAUUUUUGUACUGUCCCGAGGUUUUGUUCGGUCAUCUUCCUUUGGUUACACAUUCUUUAUUCUGGAAAGUUCCGAAGGCUUCAAUAGAUAGUGGUGAAAAUUGCUGGCAUAUAUUUGUGAACGUGGGCGUCUGUUUGUACAAGCAUAUGGCUAAAUGCGUAUAUAUAAAAGUGUAGAUGCACUGCGUUUAUAUCUGUGUGUAUGAAUAUUUAUUAGAACAUUCCCUUCCUCUUUUUUCUUACUCGUUACUCUAUAUUUUGUCGUUAACAUAGUUCAUAUUGCUUUUUACGUGCGUACUAUUUUAUAUGGCCUUCUACCGAGCUACGUCUGCAAAAACAGUGCUCAAAUCUGUCCUUUCGCCAGAUUGAUCUCGUCUGAAGAGGCGGCUGGACGUCGAGAGUGCAUCUCCAGGGUAAUGGUAUAAAUAAGCUAAUUCAAUCAAUCAAUCAUGCGUAGAUAGUAUUGAGUUCUUCCCUAGAGCGUUACUUAACAACAACAUCUUUCUAUCUAUCUGUCUGUCUGUCUGUCUGUCUGUCAGUCUGUCUAUCUACCUUCCUACCUACCUAUCUAUCUAUCUGUCUACACACACAUUUGUAUAUAUAUAUAUUACAUAAAUAUUAUGUGUAUAUAUAUAUAUAUAUAUAUAUAUAUUUCGUAUAUAAUAUAUUUGCAUACAUACACACACACAAAAGAAUAUGUGUAUGACUGUAUAUAUGUAUGUGUAUAUGUAUAUAUGUAUGUGUGUAUGUAUGUAUAUUGAUUCGAAAGCCAUCAAAUCGAAAGCGGAUAUCUGUCUUUGUAGGAGACGGAUUGGUCGAAAGAAAUGAACUCUUUGCAAUUAUGUCGCUGACAAAUUCCACACGAGGCAUUAGGGAAUUCAUACAAAGUGUCAGUAUGACAUUUACAGUUAAUUUGUUUCUCCGUUCAAACUCGAAAUCGGUGUCGUUUAAAUAUUAAUAGGUUCCUAUUCUAAGCAAACUUGUUCGGUUUUAAGAACGCUUCUAGAAGUGUUUUUUUACUGUUUAGGUUGGAUUUUGCAUUGUCUAUUAUAAAUGUUUAUUUUUUUACUUCAUAUUUUUUCACUAGACACGUAAAAAUGAAUAGACCUAUACUCACACAAACAGGAUCACGCAUGUAUACAAAUACGCACAGAAACUCUCAUUUUGACAUAUUUACCAAAAUUAAAUAAAAUAUUAUCUUGAAAUACUAAAGUGUAAAUUUCUUUUCUACUCUAGGCACAAGGCCCGAAAUUUUGGGGGAGGGGAUGUGUGUGUAUGUAUAUACACAGGCGCAGGAGUGGCUGUGUGGUAAGUAGCUUGUUUACCAACCACAUGGUUCCGGGUUCAGUCCGACUGCGUGGCACCUUGGGCAAGUGUCUUCUACUAUAGCCUCGGGCCGACCAAAGCCUUGUGAGUGGAUUUGGUAGACGGAAACUGAAAAAGAAGCCCGUCGUAUAUAUGUAUAUAUAUAUAUAUAUAUAUAUAUAUAUAUAUAUAUAUAUGCAUGUGUGUGUUUGUGUGUUUGUGUGUCUGUGUUUGUCCCUCUAGCAUUGCUUGACAACCGAUGCUGGUGUGUUUUUGUCCCCGUUACUUAGCGAUUCGGCAAAAGAGACCGAUAGAAUAAGUACUGGGCUUACAAAACAAUAAGUCUCGGGGUCGAGUUGCUCGACUAAAGGCGAUGCUCCAGCAUGGCCGCAGUCAAAUGACUGAAACAAUUAAAAGAGUAAAAGAGUUAAGAGAGUAUAUCAGGAAAAGAUCGUAAAUUUAAAAUAAAACAACGAUCCUGUCAAGUGGCCAGCAUGGAAAUAAUAACUUCCAAAGGUAAUAAUUAUUUAAAUUUAAAUCUUAGGGUAUCUACUAAUUAUACGAAAUUAUCCAGUAAAUAUUUACAAGUUUUAUUUUGUCUUUCUGUCUUCUCUCCGUGUGCUAUAUGAACACUUAAGGUGGUUUUAGAGUCAGAUCAUGGCUGCUAUUUUCAGCAUGGCGUUAUCUCGUAGAUACCCUAAGUUAUAAAUUUAUAUAUAUAUAUAUAUACAUACACACAUACAGCUAUGUAUAUAUAUAUAUAUGAUAUACGAUAUAUAUAUAUAUAUAUGUGUAGAGAGAGAGAGAAAGAGAGAGAGAGAGAGAGAGAGAGAGAGAGAGAGAGAGAAAGAGAGUGGGCACAAAAGCAACACAGGGUACUGACUAGCACCACGUUUGCUAAAAGUAAGUGUUAGAAUAACUCAAAAGCUACCAAAGCACUGAACUUAAUGACCGACAGAGGGCGGUAAGUACCCUGCAUACAUAGUCGGAUCGCGACUUCAGAUUUUUAUGUACAGCAUCUUAAUCCUCUUCGGCGACUCUUAACGCCUAGGGUUAAACUUAACUACUUCUGUCAAUGUUAUAAAGGCAACCAGCACAGAGACCUGCACACAGUUUCAAUAAGUUUUCAUCUUUCUCGACACAAUCAAAGAGAUCUUGUGCAACUGAAAUGCGAGUGUCUUUUUUUUGUAGGCUGAAAGCACAAACAUGGCAAUCAAACGUCUCAUACCCAAAUCUUCAGUGAUAAUGGACUGAAAUGAACUGUAACUAAUCUGCAGGUCCUCUGAUAACUCACAGAUGGGGAUUUGACGAUUUCUCCUCACGUGCCAACAAUUCAGAUACUUAAUGAUCAGACUUCGUAUAUGUCUUUCAAAAUGUGACCUCCUGCGUACCGUUGGCGAUUUCUUUUCCUCUGUCUUCCCUUCUCGGGAUCUUUCCUUAUCCUAUGUUUCCGACGAAGAGCUCCGCUCGAAACUUUAAACCCUCCUUCUUCCCUUCUUUCCUGAGCGUCCAAUAAUACUAUAUUUGUUCCACGUCCUCGCGUUGUGUUUUUUUUUGUGUUCUUGUUUGGAUUAACUAUAUAUAUAUAUAUAUAUAUAUAUAUAUAUAUAUAUGCACACACACACACACAUAUAUAUACACGCAUUUAUAUAUAUAUAUAUAUAUAUAUAUAUAUUAUAUAUAUAUAUACAUGUAAAUAUGUAUAUAUGUGUGCAUAUGUAAAUACAUAUAACGUUGUAUAUAUAAGUAUGAAUAUAUAUACAUGUAUGUAUCUAUCUAUUUAUCUAUUUGUCUAUCUAUCCCAUCUAUGUAUGUAUGUAUCUCUCUGUCUCUGUCUGUCUGUCUGUCUGUCUCUCUCUCUCUCUCUCUCUCUCUCUAUAUAUAUAUAUAUAUAUAUAUAUAUAUAUAUAUAUACAUAUAUGUAAAUGUAGGAAAUGGAUUUCGACGCACAUAUAAUGUUAUGAAUAAUAGUAUGAAAAUAUUGGGUUGAAAAAACACGUUUGGAUCGAAAAACGUGAAGGUGGCUCGUGGGGUACGACUGUGAAUCUCCCGUAAACAUUUUUUAUCCAUGAAUACUUUGUGAACCCAAUAUUUGCUUACUAUUACUUAUAGUGUCAUAUGUACUUUCAUCUCCCGUUCCCAUAAAGGAUUAUUUCAAAUUCUUUCGAAAAGUUAUAAAUAUUUUUAUGACGUCAACAACAUACACAGGGGCGCGCACGUGAUCGAAAGAAUAUAUAGCGUGUUUAGUUGAGUGUGUAUAUCACUGUGCACAAUCUUUUUGAAUUACAAUACGGGAUCGAACAGAAAAAUAACAACGAACCUGUUGAGAACUGUUGAACGUCACAUCCGUUGAUUACCACAAGAACGUGUUACAGUUUACAGCCGAUUGAUUUUGAUCUUUGGCGAAACAAAUUAGCUAGAAAUGCCAAAUCUAAUAACUGCUUGCAAGAAAUUCCCAAAAGUCUUAUGGUGAAAUUGUCAACAACUUAACUAAGCAUAGUUUAGUUCUUUCUUCCAAUUCCUCUCCCUUACCGAGAUAUUUCCUUUCGAUUCGACAGAACAGCUUUAGCCAUACACACAUACAUACACACACACUUGUGUGCGCGCUCACACACAUAUAUUACGCACGCACACACAGUUAUAUAUAUACAGAUAUAAACAAACAAGGGUUGUACUGAAAGUAUUGCAAAAGUGGGUCUAAUUUUGUAGUUAAAUGACAUAUAUGAAUCAAUCUGCAUGUGUUAGCAGAGAAUACCUUCCUCUCUAGUCAUUUCUCUUCUUGUUCUUCAUUGUAGGCAGAUCUCAGGCUCUAAGUAGAGGAAAGGUAAUGUCGCUCCAGGAAUCGAAACUCCAACCUACGAUAACAUAUACAAUCAUUAUGACGGCUGCAUUCACACAGAGACACACAGAGACAUACCAUAGUACCAUAUAUAUACACGUAUAUAUAUAUAUAUAUAUAUAUAUAUAUAUAUAUAUAUAUAUAUAUAUAUAUAUAUAUAUAUAUAUAUAUAAGCAUAAUUAAAUCUCAGAAUAAGAUUGAAACAGUAAUCGCUCGAUAAUGUAAAGUAUAGAAGCCAUCUUAUCAUGGCUAACCACAUUGGAGAGGGGGUGUUACUGUAGCUUUAUAGCCCCAAGAGAUCUUCGUCUCUAGCUGGCUUUAGACACAAUAUCUGUGUCCUUGGAGUAUUUGCAAAGGGAGGGCAUCCCUUCCUCGCAAGCCUGAGUGAUACGCUCGAACUAGUUUCGGGAUUGUUGUCCCUCGUCAACGGGCGGUAACCACCAGGUAGCGAUGAAAGUGAAGGCUCCUUUGCAAAUAUAUAUAAGUUUUUCUAAUGGCGUCUGUCACUGAUGUCGAAAAACAAACAAUAAGCAUAAUUAAAUCUCAGAAUGAGAUUGAAACAGUAAUCGCUCGAUAAUGUAAAGUAUAGAAGCCAUCUUAUCAUGGCUAACCACAUUGGGGAGGGGGUGUUACUGUAGCUUUAUAGCCCCAAGAGAUCAGUGGCAGACGCCAUUAGAAAAACUUAUAUAUAUUUGCAAAGGAGCCUUCACUUUCAUCGCUACCUGGUGGUUACCACCUGUUGACGAGGGACAACAAUCCCGAAACUAGUUCGAGCGUAUCACUCAGGCUUGCGAGGAAGGGAUGGCCUCCCUUUGCAAAUACUCCAAGAACACAGAUAUUGUGUCUAAAGCCAGCUAGAGACGAAGAUCUCUUGGGGCUAUAAAGCUACAGUAACACCCUCUCCCCAGUGUGGUUAGCCAUGAUAAGAUGGCUUCUAUACUUUACAUUAUAUAUAUAUAUAUAUAUCAGUUGUAUACUGUCAAUUUAACGUGACAGUCCCAUAAAGGCAAUCACACCACCGCUAUUUAUGGGACUGUCACGUUAAAUUGGCAGUAUACAACUGCUCUAUCGUGCCACCACUGCUUAUAUCUCUCUGAGAUAUUACAUUUAGAAAUGUAAUAUUUCUAUCAUAUUUUUCCUUUUCUCUGGUUUCAGCUCAGAACUGCGGCCAUGCUGAUGCACCGCCGUUUUGUGCUACACUGUUAUUGCGAAGAACCUCGUCUAAUAUGUGGCACUUGGUGAAGAAUGGAGUUUGAUAUAGCUACUCUCAUUUGCACCUCUUGCCGUG
rnacentral:lncRNA from 1 species